AGGACGAACGCUGGCGGCGUGCUUAACACAUGCAAGUCGAGCGGAAAGGCCCUUCGGGGUACUCGAGCGGCGAACGGGUGCGUAACACGUGAGCAACCUGCCCCGAAGACCGGGAUAACCCAAGGAAACUCGGGCUAAUACCGGAUACCCUCAUCUUGUCGCAUGGCGAGGUGAGGAAAUGGAUUCCGCUUCGGGAUGGGCUCGCGGCCUAUCAGCUUGUUGGUGGGGUAACGCCUACCAAGGCUACGACGGGUAGCUGGUCUGAGAGGAUGUCCAGCCACACUGGGACUGAGACACGGCCCAGACUCCUACGGGAGGCAGCAGUGGGGAAUCUUGCGCAAUGGGCGAAAGCCUGACGCAGCGACGCCGCGUGCGGGACGAAGGCCUUCGGGUUGUAAACCGCUUUCAGCAGGGACGAUUGUGACGGUACCUGCAGAAGAAGCCCGGCCAACUACGUGCCAGCAGCCGC
rnacentral:rRNA from 1 species